AUACGUAGGGAGCGAGCGUUGUCCGGAAUUACUGGGCGUAAAGGGCGCGUAGGCGGUGCUUCAAGUCGUCUGUCAAAUGGAAGGGCUUAACCCUUUUUCGCAGACGAAACUGGAGAGCUUGAGAAGCAGAGAGGCAAACAGAAUUCCUGGUGUAGCGGUGAAAUGCGUAGAUAUCAGGAAGAAUACCAGUGGCGAAGGCGGUUUGCUGGCUGCAUACUGACGCUGAAGCGCGAAAGCCAGGGGAGCGAACGGGAUUAGAUACCCCGGUAGUCCUGGCAGUAAACGAUGUAUGCUGGGUGUGAGACUAGCGAUAGUUUCGUGCCGAAGUUAACGCGAUAAGCAUACCGCCUGGGGAGUACGGUCGCAAGAUUGAAACUCAAAUGAAUUGGCGGGG
rnacentral:rRNA from 1 species